rnacentral:rRNA from 1 species
GUGGGGAAUAUUGGGCAAUGGGCGAAAGCCUGACCCAGCAACGCCGCGUGAAGGAAGAAGGUCUUCGGAUCGUAAACUUCUAUCCUUGGUGAAGAUAAUGACGGUAGCCGAGAAGGAAGCCCCGGCUAACUACGUGCCAGCAGCCGCGGUAAUACGUAGGGGGCAAGCGUUGUCCGGAAUGAUUGGGCGUAAAGGGCGCGUAGGCGGCCUGGUAAGUCUGGAGUGAAAGUCCUGCUUUUAAGGUGGGAAUUGCUUUGGAUACUGUCGGGCUUGAGUGCAGGAGAGGUAAGUGGAAUUCCCGGUGUGGCGGUGAAAUGCGUAGAGAUCGGGAGGAACACCAGUGGCGAAGGCGACUUACUGGACUGUAACUGACGCUGAGGCGCGAAAGUGUGGGGAGCAAACAGGAUUAGAUACCCCGGUAGUCC